UAUUAAAAAUUACAUCCAUUUCUAUUGGUAAAAACUGGCGUACCUGAUGGAAUAACCAAAUAGUUACAACCAGCCUACACGUGUACCUCAUGCUCAUGUACAAAGACCAAUCUUUAACGGUAGAAAUUGAUGAAAUUUUUAACA
rfam:Gossypium raimondii Chr13_contig_1351, whole genome shotgun sequence.